CUGUUUUCUAGUUGCUGGCACUGUAACAAAUUGCCACAAUCUAGUGGUUAAAAUGGUAUGCAUUUAUUAUCCUGUGGUUCCGGGAUCAGAAGUCUGAAACGUGUCUUAGGAGGCAGUGUCUUAGCUGUCUGCAGGUUCCUUCUGAAGUCUCUAGAGAAAUUCCAUUCUGUCUGCCUUAGCACAGGCUCUCUUCAGCUGCCCAUCACUCCGGCCUCCCCUCUGGCUCCUCUUCCUUGCACAAAGCCUUGUGGUGACCUUAGGCCUACCCUUAUCUCCAGGUCCUUAAUGCCCUCUGCAGAAUCCACUUUGCCAUGUGAGCCAGUGUUACAGGCUCUGGGCAUUUGUAUGGCAUUCAUAUGGUAAGUCUGGGGGCCAGUCUGUCUGGCACAGCUGGCACAUGGGCUCCUGGGAGCAGUGCCACCACUGUAUGAUGGUUCCUGCUUCAUGCUUGGCUUCUCUCCCAACACACACACUUUUUUUCCCCUCUCUUUCCCCCUAUGCUGAGGGUGGAACCCAGGACCUCAGGCUUGCUAGCAAGCACUCUUAUCAUUGAGCUACAUCCCAUCCCUUUUUUUGAGAUGAGUUUUGCUUAGUUGCCAAAGCUUGCCUUGGACUUUUGAUGUUCCUGCCUCAGCCCCCCAAGCAGCUGGUAUUACAGGCCUGGCCACCGUGCCCAUGCUUGGUUCCGUGUUGUCCUUGCCUUUUACCUGAUCUCAUCUCAGCAGUCCUAGAUCCCAACCCUUCACCCCAGUUCAGUCCAGGAAGACCCUCACAGACUACUGCACUGGAAUCAGGCACACUGAGCUCCAGCAUCCAGAGGGUCAGACCCGGCUGGUGGCUCUGGGGCUGCAGGAAGUCUUCCCGCCUGCCUGACUGGCCAUCCCUGGAGCCAGCCCAGGCUGUGUGGAGACAGAGUGAGACCAUUCCCACAUCCUGUGCUAACUUGUGCCUCUUCCAGAGGGACCUUUUCCUUUUCCUCAGGCCUGUUGUAUAUGGUGGGUGAGGCCCCAGGCUCCCAGGCCCUGCCACUCACAGACUGGAAUGGGCACCAGUCCCCAGGGCAUAGCCCCAUUCCUUGCCCUGGAAACAGCCUUGGCACUCUAGCUAGCUUCCACUCUCAGGUGGGUCUCCUGAGCCUCACUUUGAUUGCCAUCCCUGCCCAAAUUCUGCUCUGUGUCACUCAGCUCCCACAGGGGGGACACUCACUGUCUUCCCAAGAGCUAUGAUAGGACCCAGGGGCCCGCGUGCUGUGCAAUGGGCAGAGGCCUGAAUCCUGCCUCCUGCUGAAAGGAUUAGGUUCUGCUGUGGAGCAGAUCCUGAGAAAGGCCCUCCCAUCCUUCUGGAGGAUCCCAUCCCAUUUGCAAGAACCAUUAGGCUAGGACUCGUGCACCCCCUGACCUGUUAUGUAGUUCCCUGCCCCCUUGGCCUAAGGACCGCAACAUCUGGAGGUAGUCUAGAAGCUAGGUAGGCCCUAUGGGGGGAGCCUGCCCUAUGGUUAAGUGGAACCUUCACAGGUCAGCUCUGGCUGACAUGGUGCAUACCUGUAGUCCCAGCAACUUGGGAGGCUGAGGCAGAAGGAUCGAGGCCAGGCAGGGCUACUUAAUGAGGCCUCAAAAAUAAAAUGA
rnacentral:lncRNA from 1 species